GACGAACGCUGGCGGCGUGCUUAACACAUGCAAGUCGAACGGAAAGACCCUGCUUUUGUGGGGUGCUCGAGUGGCGAACGGGUGAGUAACACGUGAGUAACCUGCCCUUGACUUUGGGAUAACUUCAGGAAACUGGGGCUAAUACCGGAUAGGAGCUCCUGCUGCAUGGUGGGGGUUGGAAAGUUUCGGCGGUUGGGGAUGGACUCGCGGCUUAUCAGCUUGUUGGUGGGGUAGUGGCUUACCAAGGCUUUGACGGGUAGCCGGCCUGAGAGGGUGACCGGCCACAUUGGGACUGGGGUACGGCCCAGGCUCCUACGGGAGGCAGCAGUGGGGAAUAUUGCACAAUGGGCGGAAGCCUGAUGCAGCAACGCCGCGGGCGGGAUGACGGCCUUCGGGUUGUAAACCGCUUUCGCCUUGGACGAAGCGUGAGUGACGGUAAUGGGUAAAGAAGCACCGGCUAACUACGUG
rnacentral:rRNA from 1 species